rnacentral:misc_RNA from 1 species
GCUUUCAAGACAUUCCAAAACAAUUUAAACCAGUUGAAGGCUUCUGCUGAAGAGAGAUCUUUGGGAGCAAAGCAGGUGCCCACAAAGGGGACAGAAGCUAAGGUUUCCUAUUCUAUGACUCCUCAAAAGGAGAAUGCAGGGUCUUUCAAAGCUGCCAGUAUGGAUAAAAAAAUUGGCAAGGCAGGCCCGUCUUCUUUUGGCUUGAAAAGUGAUGAAAGGGCAGAGAAAAGGAAAGAGUUUUCUAAGAAAUGGGACGAGAAAUCAAAAGCUAAAGAGGCAAAGAGUAAGCGCCUCCAAACAAAAUCAAAGCAGGAAAAAGAGG